rnacentral:rRNA from 1 species
CCUACGGGAGGCAGCAGUGAGGAAUAUUGGUCAAUGGGCGCUAGCCUGAACCAGCCAAGUAGCGUGAAGGAUGACUGCCCUAUGGGUUGUAAACUUCUUUUAUAUGGGAAUAAAGUGCAGUAUGUAUACUGCUUUGCAUGUACCUUAUGAAUAAGGAUCGGCUAACUCCGUGCCAGCAGCCGCGGUAAUACGGAGGAUCCGAGCGUUAUCCGGAUUUAUUGGGUUUAAAGGGAGCGUAGGCGGGUUGUUAAGUCAGUUGUGAAAGUUUGCGGCUCAACCGUAAAAUUGCAGUUGAUACUGGCAGCCUUGAGUACAGUAGAGGUAGGUGGAAUUCGUGGUGUAGCGGUGAAAUGCUUAGAGAUCACGAAGAACUCCGAUUGCGAAGGCAGCCUGCUGGACUGUAACUGACGCUGAGGCUCGAAAGUGUGGGUAUCAAACAGGAUUAGAUACCCGAGUAGUC